GGGGAUCUGCCCGAUAGAGGGGGAUAACCACUGGAAACGGUGGCUAAUACCGCAUAACGUCGCAAGACCAAAGAGGGGGACCUUCGGGCCUCUCACUAUCGGAUGAACCCAGAUGGGAUUAGCUAGUAGGCGGGGUAACGGCCCACCUAGGCGACGAUCCCUAGCUGGUCUGAGAGGAUGACCAGCCACACUGGAACUGAGACACGGUCCAGACUCCUACGGGAGGCAGCAGUGGGGAAUAUUGCACAAUGGGCGCAAGCCUGAUGCAGCCAUGCCGCGUGUAUGAAGAAGGCCUUCGGGUUGUAAAGUACUUUCAGCGGGGAGGAAGGCGAUGUGGUUAAUAACCGCGUCGAUUGACGUUACCCGCAGAAGAAGCACCGGCUAACUCCGUGCCAGCAGCCGCGGUAAUACGGAGGGUGCAAGCGUUAAUCGGAAUUACUGGGCGUAAAGCGCACGCAGGCGGUCAGUUAAGUCAGAUGUGAAAUCCCCGGGCUUAACCUGGGAACUGCAUUUGAAACUGGCAGGCUUGAGUCUCGUAGAGGGGGGUAGAAUUCCAGGU
rnacentral:rRNA from 1 species